rnacentral:lncRNA from 1 species
UCCAACCUUGUUCUAAUUACUUGCUACCAAGUUUUCACACCUAGAGGCACAACUAUGUACUAAUGAAACUUUGGGGUCAGAUGAAUUCAAAUUUGAAUUGUAUGACUGGUCUCACUCCCACUCUUGUGGCUACAGAUGGGCUAGAUCCCGUGACUGAGCAAAAGGGGAGAGAGAAGGAAGUGGUUUCUCUCAAAGAUAAAGUGUUUAUCUCUGAGCAGAUAAACACAAGCCCAUUCUGUACUAGAUCAGGAGAGAGAAUGUUGGUUCAAAUCUAAGAUGCAGAGCAGAUUGGUUAAGGACUAAGUUAGUUGAUCAUUUCCUAAGACAAGACUAGGACUAGCAGCAAAGGUGGUAUGGAUACUAUCAAGAUGAGAGGAGAAGUGGACAAACUGAAAACUAGUUCAAGGUCUAACUUUACAAACAUGACCUACCCACUGUGGCAUCCCUCUUACGCUUAGCCUGAUGUGCUUUGGUAGAGGAAGCACCACCCAUAUGAGUCUGCAUUUGCCAAAGGUGCCUUAGAAGAAAGGGAAAGAACUGGAACAGGUCAGCAAGUCCCAUGCUAAUGGGACUCAUGUCAAGCUGGGUCAAGUUGGGGUGUAGAUCUCUCAUUGAGAGCUAAAGCAUGGCGCUAAAAUAAGGGAAAGCAGAGACAUAGAAAACAAUCAAAUCUGAAGAAACCAGAGGAUGGAGAUGGAGGCUGUAGAACAAGGUGGGAAUGGAAGCUGGUGGAGAACAAUAAGGUCCUGCUGAGGAUCCCUGGUGCCCAGUAGGGAACACCGUGAGGAGGAGGAUUAAGAAAGGCACCCUUUCCACUGAUUUGCAUCGCCAUUUGUACAUGGAGUUUGGCUACAGCAAAAUCCGUUGCUAUCUCACCAGCUACAAGAAGCAAAGAACGAAUUGCAAUUCAUUUUUGUGCUCUAGGACCCGGUUGAGGUUUAUCAUCAAGUUAUGUCAAUGCUAUCUCCAAAGUACAUUAUGAGCCCAUCUAUUUCUGUGCAUCCCCACCAGCAGACCCGAGUCCAAGCCUCAUCAUCCAUUGCCCAAACUACAUCAACAGUGCCUUCCUCUUCACGCCUCGUCCACCCUACAAUUUAUCUUCAUAAGAUGUGUAUGCUUUUCUUAAGAUGUGCAUUGGAUGUUGUCCCUUUGUUUUUAAGAGUUUUCCAGCUGGAUUUGAUGUCACUUUCCCAUGCUGUCACUAAUCCCCAGCCACAACAGAAUGGGUCACACUCUUCUGCACUUUGGACCCUUUGCCCAUGCCAGAGUUAUCCGCUGACCCUCUUCCCAUGGCUGUCACCUCUUCAAAAAGGUCCACUGAACCUGAAGUAGAUGUCCUCCCUCUAUUAAGAUUCAACGUAUCAAAUCCACCCUUUCAAAGUCUUAGACUAGCACCUGGCAUACAUCUCCUUGCUGACAAAAAAGGAAAUGACUUCUGAAGACAUGAAAAAAAAAAAACAGGGUGAAGACAAAUUGGGUUAGAAUAACCCAUGACCUAGAUCAUUAGACUUUGACUAAUGAAGAACUGCCUUUUAACAGAGUUAAAAUUGACAGCACCAUGGCCUCACACCCAACAGGGUUUGAGGCUGGACCCUUCUUUGACAAACGAUGCCCUGAUUUACGCGCAAAAAUACCCAUCACAGCAUUAUUUAUAAUAUUCCCUGUCCAAUGCUGGGGACCUAGUUCAAUUAGCUAUAGAACAGCCAUUUGAUGAAAUAUUAUAAAGCUAUUAAAAUAAUAGGGGCAAAGAAAUUUUAAAACAUGGGGAAAGCCUUGAUGUUGUAAUAUUAAAUGAAUGAAGGAAUUCUAUGAAUGAAACUCAUUAAAACAUGUCUUCACAGUA